rnacentral:lncRNA from 1 species
UGCUUAGGGACGGACCAUUAGAAAAGUGAUGGGGGGGGGGGUAAAUUUUUUUUGUUUGCAUUUUUUUUCCAGGUUGUCAGCUGUGUAUGCAUGUUUUUUUUAAAUAUGUCUUCUCGCAUGCAAUUUUUUUUCCAAUACAACUAUACAGAUGUUAACGAAACUGUUCUCUUGACAAAAAAUAUCCCUUUAAUACACACUGCAAAAUUAUAUCUUUAAGCACCAUAUAUGGACAAGUUUUCUAGGGGUCCAGAGCAUGCUCACCCGGAAAAUUUUUGAAUCUAAAUUCUCUGAAAUACCAUUUCCCGGACUUUGGGGAGAGAUUUUACAGAAUUCUGAUGGUCAGAAAACGCCAUUGUAACAUAUCAGAGGCCCUUGGCCAAUGUUUUUGCUCUAUAGCCUGAGCCUGGGGCCCCCCAUUUGCGGGCCCAUUGGGGUUGGGGGCCCCCGGAUUCUCCCAGUCCGAGCCCAUAGUAGUUACGCCACUGAGGACAGUGGCAGCGUGAAUGAGAAUUAAUUAUUAAAUACAAUAGAAAAUAUUUUGAUAGUAUAUAAUAAAACUACAUAAGAGUUACUGUUAAUAUUGAAAGAAAUUGCAUAUUAAUAUAUUAUAUAUUUUGAUAUAUUUAUAUUCUGAAAUAUUCCAAAGAUUUAGUUCAAUUUUGUCUGAUGUACAUU